rnacentral:rRNA from 1 species
UACAGAGGUCUCAAGCGUUGUUCGGAUUCAUUGGGCGUAAAGGGUGCGUAGGUGGCGUCGUAAGUCAGGUGUGAAAUCUCGGGGCUUAACUCCGAAACUGCAUUCGAUACUGCCGUGCUUGAGGACUGGAGAGGAGACUGGAAUUUACGGUGUAGCGGUGAAAUGCGUAGAUAUCGUAAGGAAGACCAGUGGCGAAGGCGGGUCUCUGGACAGUUCCUGACGCUGAGGCACGAAGGUCAGGGGAGCAAACGGG